rnacentral:rRNA from 1 species
GACGAACGCUGGCGGCGUGCUUAACACAUGCAAGUCGAACGGAAAGGCCCUGCUUUUGUGGGGUGCUCGAGUGGCGAACGGGUGAGUAACACGUGAGUAACCUGCCCUUGACUUUGGUAUAACUUCAGGAAACUGGGGCUAAUACCGGAUAGGAGCUCCUGCUGCAUGGUGGGGGUUGGAAAGUUUCGGCGGUUGGGGAUGGACUCGCGGCUUAUCAGCUUGUUGGUGGGGUAGUGGCUGACCAAGGCUUUGACGGGUAGCCGGCCUGAGAGGGUGACCGGCCACAUUGGGACUAAGGUAGGGACCAGACUGGUACGGGGGGCAGCGGUGGGGAAUAUUGCACAAUGGGCGGAAGUGUGAUGCAGCAACGCCGCGUGCGGGAUGACGGCCUUCGGGUUGUAAACCGCUUUAGCCUGUGACGAAGCGUGAGUGACGGUAAUGGGUAAAGAAGCACCGGCUAACUACGUG